rnacentral:rRNA from 1 species
GCAGCAGCCGCGGUAAUACGUAGGUGGCAAGCGUUGUCCGGAAUUAUUGGGCGUAAAGGGCUCGCAGGCGGUUUCUUAAGUCUGAUGUGAAAGCCCCCGGCUCAACCGGGGAGGGUCAUUGGAAACUGGGAAACUUGAGUGCAGAAGAGGAGAGUGGAAUUCCACGUGUAGCGGUGAAAUGCGUAGAGAUGUGGAGGAACACCAGUGGCGAAGGCGACUCUCUGGUCUGUAACUGACGCUGAGGAGCGAAAGCGUGGGGAGCGAACAGGAUUAGAGACCCCUGUAGUCCCUGUCUUUUAUAA